ACGCAAUUGUUGUGCUAAUCAUUUUGCCCUUUUAAAAUUACAAUAUUAUUAAUUAAACAAGUCUAAUUAACCAUCAUUUUGUAAUUAAUAGCUUUGUCUAUUCGUCGUCUAUCAAAUGAGUGAUAAAUCAUUGCGAAAUGUUGUCAUUUUCAUACAAAAAUCUCAUAUUUUAUAUGACGCUCAAAAGCCGGCUGAGAGUCAUGGCGUUACGCAACCCAAAAUGGCCGACAGUUGGAUAUUACAAGGCUGAUCAUGACUGACCAUCAAGUCAAUUUUAGUGUCGACAGCAUAGGCUUAUGAUAUUCAUCAAACUGCUUUUAAAAUCGUGAUGAAAAAAAAGUUUAUCCAUUGAUUUGUCAUUAGAGUGAUAAUACAAAUGAAUACAUGUUGAAAUUCAUUGUAAAUUUACUCAUGACAAAGAAGUUGAACAUAUUUUAAAUCGACCCGACGAAAAGAUGAGCUUGCCCAAGCUUGCCAAGAAUGUUAUUGUGACAAUUGGAGCAUCUGAUUUAACAAGUAACAAGGGAAUUGUUGAGAAAAAGAUUAGCUGUUUCAUAGAGUUUAUUAGAAAAAGCAAGAAGUGAUAGACAUGCUGGUAAAAGGUACGUUGGUUUUGGUAUUAUCUUCUCCAAAUGGUUUGGAUGUUGAUCAAUUUAUUCCAAACCAUUAAGCAAAUUUAAUAUGGAACCAAUCAAAGCCAUAAUUAAAUUACAAAAAAAGAAACAGAUUGAUAAUGAUGACAAUGUUUUCUCAUUGUUACAUUUAAUUUAAAAAAAUUAAAUUAAUGGAUAAUUAAUUAUAAAUUGAAACUUGAUUAUCUUGCGUUAUUUUUAAAACAUCAUAGCCGAAUGUUGAACAAUGUUUCACAUCAGGUAAAUAAUAUGGAUGUUAAAUUAACUCGUCAGCUUUAAAAAAAAUAUAAAAAUUCGUAGUUAAAUAAAUUUAUAACUAUAACCUCGCGAAAGAAUAUAAAAUGAAAAACAUUACAACGAAGAUAGAAGAAUCAAAAGUGUUUUAAAAGAAAAUUGAUGCUGAAAAAUUAUAAAGACCACUUGAGUCACCAUCAAGAUAUCAAGAGCCACAAGAUGUUUGUUGGAAAUCCAAAAAAAAUAUCAGAUGAACCAGUUAUUUUUCAAAGACGAAGAUGAUGUUGAUGCAAGGAACAAAUUACAUUAUAAACGUCCACAAGAAUUUUUGUAAAUUAUGAUGUGACGAGGCCAACUUCACCAAGAAAAAUGUUUCCAGCCAAGCCAAGACAGCAUGCAACUGUUACGAAGACAACACCAGUACCAGUUGAUGAUGAUGUGGGACAAUGUGGGAUAUCUUGUUGAUGUUUAUCAUCAACACAAUUCAUCAAUGGAUCCUGUGAAGCACAUACGUCCAACUACGUGACCUAAUUAAAAUAAAUAAAAUAUAACAUUGAUUGCAUUAAACUUUGAGCU